GGAGUGGUAUAGUGGUAAAGCAUCUGCUUUGCAUGCAGGAGGUCCCUGGUUCAAUCCCAGGCAUCUCCA
rnacentral:tRNA from 1 species